CUUGUACCUGGUGGCGAGCGGCGGACGGGUGAGUAAUGCCUAGGAAUCUGCCUGGUAGUGGGGGAUAACGCUCGGAAACGGACGCUAAUACCGCAUACGUCCUACGGGAGAAAGCAGGGGACCUUCGGGCCUUGCGCUAUCAGAUGAGCCUAGGUCGGAUUAGCUAGUUGGUGAGGUAAUGGCUCACCAAGGCGACGAUCCGUAACUGGUCUGAGAGGAUGAUCAGUCACACUGGAACUGAGACACGGUCCAGACUCCUACGGGAGGCAGCAGUGGGGAAUAUUGGACAAUGGGCGAAAGCCUGAUCCAGCCAUGCCGCGUGUGUGAAGAAGGUCUUCGGAUUGUAAAGCACUUUAAGUUGGGAGGAAGGGCAGUUACCUAAUACGUAUCUGUUUUGACGUUACCGACAGAAUAAGCACCGGCUAACUCUGUGCCAGCAGCCGCGGUAAUACAGAGGGUGCAAGCGUUAAUCGGAAUUACUGGGCGUAAAGCGCGCGUAGGUGGUUCGUUAAGUUGGAUGUGAAAUCCCCGGGCUCAACCUGGGAACUGCAUUCAAAACUGACGAGCUAGAGUAUGGUAGAGGGUGGUGGAAUUUCCUGUGUAGCGGUGAAAUGCGUAGAUAUAGGAAGGAACACCAGUGGCGAAGGCGACCACCUGGACUGAUACUGACA
rnacentral:rRNA from 1 species